rnacentral:rRNA from 1 species
UACGUAGGGUGCGAGCGUUAAUCGGAAUUACUGGGCGUAAAGCGUGCGCAGGCGGUUGUGCAAGACCGAUGUGAAAUCCCCGGGCUCAACCUGGGAAUGGCAUUGGUGACUGCACGGCUAGAGUGUGUCAGAGGGGGGUAGAAUUCCACGUGUAGCAGUGAAAUGCGUAGAGAUGUGGAGGAACACCGGUGGCGAAGGCGGCAUCCUGGACCGGUAUUGACGCUGAGGCGCGAAAGCUAGGGGAGCAAACGGG